rnacentral:rRNA from 2 species
UGGGCGUAAGCGCGCGCAGGCGGUUUCUUAAGUCUGAUGUGAAAGCCCACGGCUCAACCGUGGAGGGUCAUUGGAAACUGGGGAACUUGAGUGCAGAAGAGAAAAGCGGAAUUCCACGUGUAGCGGUGAAAUGCGUAGAGAUGUGGAGGAACACCAGUGGCGAAGGCGGCUUUUUGGUCUGUAACUGACGCUGAGGCGCGAAAGCGUGGGGAGCAAACAGGAUUAUAUACCCUGGUAGUCCACGCCGUAAACGAUGAGUGCUAAGUGUUAGAGGGUUUCCGCCCUUUACUGCUGCAUCUAACGCAUUAAGCACUCCGCCUGGGGAGUACGGUCGCAAGACUGAAUCUCUAAGGAAUUGACGGGGGCCCG